CAAUGUCAUUUUCUUACAGAUUUCAAUGUCAGGCUACAAAUCGUUCAAAAUGGAGUAGAUUUUAGAUUUUAUAGAAAAAUUACAAUAGAACCGGCCAUUUCUCUAACAUGUCCAGAUACCAUUCAAAAUGUAGCAAUUCCAAAACGCUGAGUCAGAAAAAAAAUCCUAAUGCUAUUCUUACUAUGAAACCGCUCUGUGACUGCAAACACUGCUUAUGCCCCGAUUGUCCGGAUAUUUUGAGCAUGCUGGCGAUCACUGUCACUGAGAGAACAUGUACAUUUGGUUCGGAUAUGCCUAAACUCAAUUUAGAUAACCCGAGUAGAUGCACUUCAAUAGCCAACAGCUCCAAGACCACUAUUAACACAAAUAAGGAACAACACUAAAAUUGAAGAGAAAAAAUUGCCCUGCCUAGAAUCUGUAAUAAAACCUAGAAUCUGAAUAAUAAGUUGAUAGACCAAAAGGAAUAAAUAAUUAGCUACAACCAUGUCUAAAUAUCAUAUAAAAUGCACGGACCCCGAAAAAGAGCCUCCACUGCAACCUGAGCCACCCCCUGAACGACCUAUGGCCGACCAAUCGGAUCUGAUAGCAUUAAUAAACCCAGACAGAACAUGCGGUUGCGCGGUAGCAGGUCGAGCCGUCAGCCAUGACAUUCCUCAAUACUUGGCCAUGCGACAUAUACAUAAUGAUAAAGCACGAAAACCAGAAAAAGAGGAUGAACAAUCCGAAGAGUCGAAAAAGAAACCGCUCUGCAAGAAUCCAUAAUUUGUAAAAUUACUCCAUCAAACAAAUAAAUACAAAAUCGAA